UUGCAGGUGUUUUUCUUUAUAACAACAGGAGCAUGUGAUAUCUGUGGAAGCAUACGCUAGAGGGACUAUAUAAUUUGGCUGAACUGAAGAGGAUUGAACAAGAAACUCACCUCAUGGAGAGUGAGUUGUAUAGUUGGCUGCUAAAUGUAUCCUCUCAAGUAAAUAGUCUACCUCUUCUAAUCAUAAAAUGGCCAAAAUAGGGAAAGUUGGAAGUUAAAGGAUAUUUGAAGAGUUCUAAAGAAUAACAAUGUAAUGAUCAUUCGGUUUCAUUGUUGAUUCCAAUUAAUUAUGUAUAUGGAAUUUAUCCAAUAAUAAAAAAAUGAUUUUAUUGUAA